AUUUUUUUUUUUUUUUAUUUUAAAGAUUUGGGGGGUCCAAGUUAAUGCUAUAUACAUUACAGAGGCCUCAAAAGUGGAUAAUCUUCGAGUAGUUCCCUCUCUGUUAGUGUAUCAUGUUCAUUUUGAGGGGUCCACAACACCUCAACUGCAAGUAUUUUGCUGGUGGGAAUGGAACCCAGUUUUUGCAAUGCUUCCUUUAAGUCUCCACUGCCAUUGAUGGUUGGCAGUUUAUGUACUCCUUCAGCAGCCACCAAGAUAGUUAUCUGAAAGAAUUAUGAAAAAAAUCCAACAUAGGAGACUCAAAGUUGGAAUACACGGAAGGCAGAGGACUUGUCAUACUUCCAGUUCUAAUGUAAUUCAAACUCUACCACCGGCCGAUUAUUUGAUAUAACAUCACAUUAAUAAAUGCAAAUAAAUGCUAUAACUUAAUAAAUCUCCACAUCUGAUGUAACAGAUAUCCAAGAACCACAUAAAAUUCUCUUCAGGGAGUAUGGCAAUUUACUGCACCAAUUUCAUGAGAAUGAAAGACUUGACAAUGAGAGGAUAAAUCCCAAUUGCAGUGUUGAAACUUGAUACACUUGUUGGUGAGCAAUGCUAAUAGAUUUAAUAAAGAAGGCCAGAGAGUUAUCCUUCAAUUGUUUACACAUCAUCCUUAGUUGACUAAAAUAGCAGCAGCAUAGUGCACCCGUAAUCCAUCCUAAACUACAGGAAGAAUAUCCAAACUUUCCUUGGUUUCAUUUUAUUCUCUCUUUUUAAUAUAUUUACUCAUAUUAGGAAAGAAAAUGAUCAUUUAUUUCGUUUAACAUGGAGUUAGAUGGCAAACUCUAGUACCAAAUGAUGUGGCUUCCCCACAAAGGAUAACUAGCAUCUUAGGCUAAACGAAUUUUUCUAAGGGAUCCAGCUGCAUCUUAGAUUUAAAAUCAAAGAAACAAAUCUAAUUUUUCAUAUAACUACUCAAAUACAGCUAUAUCUCCGUUGCAUGCCAUUCAAAUUAGAUAUUGGCUUUAAAUGCUCAAAUAAAUCCAAAUCCAAGCCCUAUAGCUGAAGAAUGAAACACAUAAACUACAACAUCAUGCUACAAAACGUCUUUCAUUCCAUUAUUUGACAUUAAAUCUAAAACAAAGGCAACUUCAGAGAUGAAACCUUACCACUAUAUAUUCAUUGUUAAAUCCAUUAGCUCUUUGGCUAUUUGUGCUUCGUUUUUUUAUGCUGUUCACAUUAACAAGUGUUUCUUCAUCAAAUUUCCCCCUUUCUUCAAUAGAAAGUUGAUUGAAACGUUUUUCACCAUCCUCGAUGCUUCGCUUCACAUCGGCCUGAAAUAUGCAAACAUAAAUAGAGUAUAUAGAGAGUCCACUUAAAUCCUAAUGUGAGUAAAAAUAUUCCAGGAGAUAGCUGUCAACUUACAUAUGAAUAACCAGAGAUGCAAUAAUCAGGAUGCCGAAGCAAAGCUAGUGAUGCCUCUGCAACCAAAACAAAUGCGCUGUUAACCAAUAUUGAGUUAUUGAUAAAAUAACACAAGAUUUUCUUCAUUACAACAAUAUGGUUUCAUUGGCAUAACUACUAUCAUGGUCUGUAUGAAUUACACUUUGGCCAAUUUGUUUACUGAAUCAUGGUUUAUGGAGAAUUGCUAUAAGAAACUAUAAUGACAUUAUGCUGUAUCUGGAAAAAAAAUGUUAGGCAGCUUUUUAACACAAUGUUCAUGAAGUGCCUUCAUAUAAUGGGGUUACUGAUGGAUGAGAAGAAUAAAUCAAUCAGCAAAAUACAAAUUCUCAACUCAUGGUCUUCAGAUUACAUUGUUACAUCAUGAUGCCUCGAGGAAAGGCUUAAGAAGCCUUAAGGAUUGGCCAUUAUGCUGGCAAUAACUCCAAUCCCAUGCUUAUACCGAACAUAAGGGAAAAAGUUAAGAACACAAAUUAACCUCUCUCACUCUAAAUAUUUUAUCUUAAAACAAUACAGACAACCAACUUUGCAGCAAAAUUUAACCUGAUCCAAAAUAAAUAAAAAUCAAAUAAGGGCUCUAAAAGUCCAAUAGAAGAGGGAUAUCCAAAAGGCAUUUGAGGAAUAAGUAUGAUGGUAGUUGUUCAUACCAUUUGAAGAAAGACUGGAUCCCAAACAAUCAGUCUUUCCUUUAGUCAUUGCAUCUUACUUUGAUUGAUCAGUGUGUGAAGUAGAAGCAAAAUUCUAAGGAAGUCUAAUUCCAUUUGCUAUUAAGAUGCCUUCUGUUUCUCCCAAAUGCUUCUCAUCGAAUGCAGAUGUUCCAUUUUUCAAGCCAGCACCACCAUUUUUUAUCAUUGAAUUGAAUGAAUUUCUCAUGUAAAAUUACAACAAAUCCAGACAACUUAAAAUCACCCAGGUAAAUAAGAAAUGAGAUGAUACUUUUCUCUCACCUGUCAACAGUGAUUAUCUAUCAUCCUCAAAAGACUUCUUAGUAACAACCUAGCCUCUCCGAACCAAGUUGUCAACAAAAAUUCACCAUGUCCAAAUUAAGGACUGUGAAUGACUUUUAGCUUCAUUUCUAUUCUACUGCCUCAAGGAACUUACAAUAGCCAGGUUGUUAGAGAAGAAUGCUAUACAAAAAUGAAUAUGAUCCUUAGAGGCUUUGAACGCAUUAUUAAUGUGUUUUAGUGCUCUAGUUGCUUUUAAAUAAGCCGUCUUCUUUUCUAACAUUUUUUCCAAUAAUAUAUUCGCUUUACGAGUUUUAAGACCUACUUUCUCAUAGGAACUCACUAACAAACUCAUAAUAAUAGUAAGCUUGGAGUUGGACAUAGAAGAGAAAAGAAAACAUAGUUUCAAAAAUGAAAAAGAAAAGAAAAGAACAGAGGAGAGGAAAAUAAUUGCAAAUUAAAUUUGAUAAGAAAGAACCCCAAAAAAAAAACUAUAC
rnacentral:misc_RNA from 1 species